rfam:Triticum aestivum genome assembly, contig: Triticum_aestivum_CS42_TGACv1_scaffold_221180_3B
AAUAUACUCCCUCCGUCCAAAAAAUACUUGUCACCAAAAUGGAUAAAAAGAGAUGUAUCUAGAACUAAAGUACAUCUAGAUACAUCUCCUUUUAUCCAUUUUAAUGACAAGUAUUUCGGGACGGAGGGAGUAUAUA